UACGAAGGGGGCUAGCGUUGUUCGGAUUUACUGGGCGUAAAGCGCACGUAGGCGGAUCUUUAAGUCAGAGGUGAAAUCCCAAGGCUCAACCUUGGAACUGCCUUUGAUACUGGGGAUCUUGAGUCCGGGAGAGGUGAGUGGAACUGCGAGUGUAGAGGUGAAAUUCGUAGAUAUCGGGAGGAACACCAGUGGCGAAGGCGGCGACCUGGGCCAAUAUUGACGCUGAGGUGCGAAAGCGUGGGGAGCAAACAGGG
rnacentral:rRNA from 1 species